AGUGAACGCUGGCGGCGUGCCUAAUACAUGCAAGUCGAACGAAGUGGCGCACGGGUGAGUAAUAUAUAGUUAAUCUGCCCUACACAGAGGAACAACAGUUGGAAACGGCUGCUAAUACCUCAUAGUGUAGGAUGAGACUAUAUCGUAUCAGCUAGUUGGUAAGGUAAUGGCGUACCAAGGCUAUGACGCGUAACUGUUCUGAGAGGAUGAUCAGUCAAAUCGUACGUGAGACAGGGUCCAAACUCCUUCGGGAGUCGGCAGUAAGGAAUAUUGGGCAAUGGGGGUGACUCUGACGCAGCAACGCCGCGUGGAGGAUGAAACGUUGCGGAGAGAAAACUCCUUUUAUCAGGAAAGCGGUACCUGAAGAAUAAGCACCGGCUAACUCCGUGCCAGCAGCCGCGGUAAUAC
rnacentral:rRNA from 1 species